rnacentral:rRNA from 1 species
GUGGGGAAUCUUGCGCAAUGGGCGAAAGCCUGACGCAGCAACGCCGCGUGGGUGAUGAAGGUUUUCGGAUCGUAAAGCCCUGUCGGUAGGAACGAUGGGUUCACUGGCUAACAUCCAGUGGACUUGACGGUACCUGCAAAGGAAGCACCGGCUAACUCUGUGCCAGCAGCCGCGGUAAGACAGAGGGUGCAAGCGUUGUUCGGAAUUAUUGGGCGUAAAGCGCACGUAGGCGGUUUUCUAAGUCUGAUGUGAAAGCCUUGGGCUCAACCCAAGAAGUGCAUCGGAAACUGGGAGACUUGAGUUUCGGAGAGGGUGGUGGAAUUCCGAGUGUAGAGGUGAAAUUCGUAGAUAUUCGGAGGAACACCAGUGGCGAAGGCGACCACCUGGACGAAAACUGACGCUGAGGUGCGAAAGCGUGGGGAUCAAACAGGAUUAGAUACCCUAGUAGUCC